rnacentral:rRNA from 1 species
GUAAACGAUGAGUGCUAAGUGUUAGGGGGUUUCCGCCCCUUAGUGCUGCAGCUAACGCAUUAAGCACUCCGCCUGGGGAGUACGACCGCAAGGUUGAAACUCAAAGGAAUUGACGGGGGCCCGCACAAGCGGUGGAGCAUGUGGUUUAAUUCGAAGCAACGCGAAGAACCUUACCAGGUCUUGACAUCCUUUGACCACUCUGGAGACAGAGCUUUCCCUUCGGGGACAAAGUGACAGGUGGUGCAUGGUUGUCGUCAGCUCGUGUCGUGAGAUGUUGGGUUAAGUCCCGCAACGAGCGCAACCCUUGAUUUUAGUUGCCAGCAUUUAGUUGGGCACUCUAAAGUGACUGCCGGUGCAAGCCGGAGGAAGGUGGGGAUGACGUCAAAUCAUCAUGCCCCUUAUGACCUGGGCUACACACGUGCUACAAUGGAUAGUACAAAGGGUCGCGAAGCCGCGAGGUGGAGCUAAUCCCAUAAAACUAUUCUCAGUUCGGAUUGUAGGCUGCAACUCGCCUACAUGAAGCCGGAAUCGCUAGUAAUCGUGGAUCAGCAUGCCACGGUGAAUACGUUCCCGGGCCUUGUACACACCGCCCGUCACACCACGAGAGUUUGUAACACCCGAAGUCGGUAGGG